rnacentral:rRNA from 1 species
GACGAACCGAGCGAACGUUGUUCGGAAUCACUGGGCUUAAAGGGCGCGUAGGCGGGUGCUCAAGUCCGGGGUGAAAUCCCUCAGCUUAACUGGGGAACUGCGUGUGAUACUGGAUGGCUUGGAUUCGGGAGAGGGAUGCGGAAUUCCAGGUGUAGCGGUGAAAUGCGUAGAUAUCUGGAGGAACACCGGUGGCGAAGGCGGCAUCCUGGACCGAUAUUGACGCUGAGGAGCGAAAGCCAGGGGAGCAAACGGG